rnacentral:rRNA from 1 species
CCUACGGGAGGCAGCAGUGGGGAAUAUUGGACAAUGGGGGGAACCCUGAUCCAGCCAUGCCGCGUGUGUGAAGAAGGCCCUCGGGUUGUAAAGCACUUUCAGUGAGGAAGAACGCCUGGUGGUUAAUACCCAUCAGGAAAGACAUCACUCACAGAAGAAGCACCGGCUAACUCCGUGCCAGCAGCCGCGGUAAUACGGAGGGUGCGUGCGUUAAUCGGAAUUACUGGGCGUAAAGCGCGCGUAGGUGGCUUGAUAAGCCGGUUGUGAAAGCCCCGGGCUCAACCUGGGAACGGCAUCCGGAACUGUCAAGCUAGAGUGCAGGAGAGGAAGGUAGAAUUCCCGGUGUAGCGGUGAAAUGCGUAGAGAUCGGGAGGAAUACCAGUGGCGAAGGCGGCCUUCUGGACUGACACUGACACUGAGGUGCGAAAGCGUGGGUAGCAAACAGGAUUAGAUACCCGAGUAGUC